GAUGAACGCUGGCGGCGUGCCUAAUACAUGCAAGUCGAGCGAACAGGUAAGGAGCUUGCUCCUUUGACGUUAGCGGCGGACGGGUGAGUAACACGUGGGUAACCUACCUAUAGGACUGGAAUAACUCCGGGAAACCGGGGCUAAUGCCGGAUAACAUUUAGAACCGCAUGGUUCUAAAGUGAAAGAUGGUUUUGCUAUCACUUAUAGAUGGACCCGCGCCGUAUUAGCUAGUUGGUAAGGUAACGGCUUACCAAGGCAACGAUACGUAGCCGACCUGAGAGGGUGAUCGGCCACACUGGAACUGAGACACGGUCCAGACUCCUACGGGAGGCAGCAGUAGGGAAUCUUCCGCAAUGGGCGAAAGCCUGACGGAGCAACGCCGCGUGAGUGAUGAAGGUCUUCGGAUCGUAAAACUCUGUUAUUAGGGAAGAACAAAUGUGUAAGUAACUGUGCACGUCUUGACGGUACCUAAUCAGAAAGCCACGGCUAACUACGUG
rnacentral:rRNA from 1 species